rnacentral:rRNA from 1 species
GAUGAACGCUGGCGGCGUGCCUAAUACAUGCAAGUCGAACGCUGGAGAUCUAGCUUGCUAGAUCGAAGGAGUGGCGAACGGGUGAGUAAUACAUAAGCAACCUACCCACGAAGACUGGGAUAAUCUCUGGAAACGGGGACUAAUACCGGAUAGGUAAUCGGAAGGCAUCUUCUGGUUAUUAAAGGUUAAAAACACUGGUGGAUGGGCUUAUGGCGCAUUAGUUAGUUGGUGAGGUAACGGCCCACCAAGACGAUGAUGCGUAGCCGGCCUGAGAGGGUGAACGGCCACAUUGGGACUGAGACACGGCCCAGACUCCUACGGGAGGCAGCAGUAGGGAAUUUUCGGCAAUGGGGGCAACCCUGACCGAGCAACGCCGCGUGAGUGAAGACGGCCUUCGGGUUGUAAAGCUCUGUUGUAAGGGAAGAACGGUAGAUAGAGAAUAUCUAAGUGACGGUACCUUAUCAGAAAGCCACGGCUAACUACGUGCCAGCAGCCGCGGUAAUACGUAGGUGGCGAGCGUUAUCCGGAAUUAUUGGGCGUAAAGGGUGCGUAGGCGGCCUGUUAAGUAAGUGGUUAAAUUGUUGGGCUCAACCCAAUCCAGCCACUUAAACUGGCAGGCUAGAGUAUUGGAGAGGCAAGUGGAAUUCCAUGUGUAGCGGUAAAGUGCGUAGAUAUAUGGAGGAACACCAGUGGCGAAGGCGGCUUGCUAGCCAAAGACUGACGCUCAUGCACGAAAGCGUGGGGAGCAAAUAGG